rnacentral:misc_RNA from 1 species
UCCCCGUUUCCGGGGCAGUCCCAUCAGAGUGCCCUAAAUAAAUAGGUAGCAACUGACGGUAAGGGUUGCGCUCGUUAAAGGACUUAACCCAACAUCUCACGACACGAGCUGACGACAGCCAUGCAGCACCUGUGUAAUCGUCUGUAGCAAGCUACAGAACCCGAUAUUUCUAUCAGUAGCAAUUACAUGUCAAGUCCAGGUAAGGUUCCUCGCGUAGUGUCGAAUUAAACCACAUGUUCCACCGCUUGUGCGGACCCCCGUCAAUUUCUUUGAGUUUUAAUCUUGCGACCGUACUCCCCAGGCGGAUCACUUAUCGCGUUAGCUACAACACCAACCCCGCUAAGCAGGGCUGACACCUAGUGAUCAUCGUUUACGGUGUGGACUAC